rnacentral:rRNA from 1 species
GAGUUUGAACCUGGCUCAGGAUGAACGCUGGCGGCGUGCCUAAUACAUGCAAGUCGAGCGAACCACUUCGGUGGUGAGCGGCGAACGGGUGAGUAACACGUAGGUGAUCUGCCCAUCAGACGGGGACAACGAUUGGAAACGAUCGCUAAUACCGGAUAGGACGAAAGUUUAAAGGUGCUUCUGGCACCGCUGAUGGAUGAGCCUGCGGCGCAUUAGCUAGUUGGUAGGGUAAAGGCCUACCAAGGCGACGAUGCGUAGCCGACCUGAGAGGGUGAACGGCCACACUGGGACUGAGACACGGCCCAGACUCCUACGGGAGGCAGCAGUAGGGAAUCUUCGGCAAUGGGCGAAAGCCUGACCGAGCAACGCCGCGUGAAUGAUGAAGGCCUUCGGGUUGUAAAAUUCUGUUAUAAGGGAAGAACGACUUUAGUAGGAAAUGGCUAGAGUGUGACGGUACCUUAUGAGAAAGCCACGGCUAACUACGUGCCAGCAGCCGCGGUAAUACGUAGGUGGCGAGCGUUAUCCGGAAUUAUUGGGCGUAAAGAGCGCGCAGGUGGUUGAUUAAGUCUGAUGUGAAAGCCCACGGCUUAACCGUGGAGGGUCAUUGGAAACUGGUCGACUUGAGUGCAGAAGAGGGAAGUGGAAUUCCAUGUGUAGCGGUGAAAUGCGUAGAGAUAU